rnacentral:rRNA from 1 species
UACGUAGGGGGCAAGCGUUGUCCGGAAUCAUUGGGCGUAAAGCGCGUGUAGGCGGCUUGGUAAGUCCGCUCUGAAAGCCCGGGGCUCAACCCCGGGAGGCGGGUGGAUACUGUCAAGCUCGAGUCCGGAAGAGGCGAGUGGAACUCCUGGUGUAGCGGUGGAAUGCGCAGAUAUCAGGAAGAACACCAACGGCGAAGGCAGCUCGCUGGGACGGAACUGACGCUAAGGCGCGAAAGCGUGGGGAGCGAACAGG